GACGAACGCUGGCGGCGUGCCUAAUACAUGCAAGUCGAACGCUGAAGGAGGAGCUUGCUUCUCUGGAUGAGUUGCGAACGGGUGAGUAACGCGUAGGUAACCUGCCUUGUAGCGGGGGAUAACUAUUGGAAACGAUAGCUAAUACCGCAUAAGAGUAGAUGUUGCAUGACGUUUACUUGAAAGGUGCAAUUGCAUCACUACCAGAUGGACCUGCGGUGUAUUAGGUAGUUGUUGAGGUAACGGCUCACCAAGGCAACGAUACAUAGUCGAACGGAGAGGGUGGUUAGCCACACUGGGAGUGAGACCGGGCACAGACGGCCACGGGAGGGAGCAGGAGGGAAACUUGGGCCAUGGGCGGAAGGCUGACCGAGAAACGCCGAGGGAGGGAAGAAGGUUGUCGGGUCGGAAAGCUCGGUUGUAAGAGAAGAAAGAGUGUGAGAGUGGAAAGUUCACACUGUGACGGUAUCUUAUCAGAAAGGGACGGCUAACUACGUG
rnacentral:rRNA from 1 species